rnacentral:rRNA from 1 species
AGAAACCAACAGGGAUUGCCUCAGUAACGGCGAGUGAAGCGGCAACAGCUCAAAUUUGAAAUCUGGCCCUCGGGUCCGAGUUGUAAUUUGUAGAGGAUGCUUUUGGCGCGGUGCCUUCCGAGUUCCCUGGAACGGGACGCCUUAGAGGGUGAGAGCCCCGUACGGUUGGACACCAAGCCUCUGUAAAGCUCCUUCGACGAGUCGAGUAGUUUGGGAAUGCUGCUCUAAAUGGGAGGUAAAUUUCUUCUAAAGCUAAAUAUUGGCCAGAGACCGAUAGCGCACAAGUAGAGUGAUCGAAAGAUGAAAAGCACUUUGAAAAGAGGGUUAAAUAGCACGUGAAAUUGUUGAAAGGGAAGCGUUUGCGACCAGACCUUUUCCUGGCGGAUCAUCCGGUGUUCUCACCGGUGCACUUCGCCAGGUCGAGGCCAGCAUCGGUUUCCGCGGGGGGAUAAAAGCUCUGGGAACGUAGCUCCUCCGGGAGUGUUAUAGCCCUCUGCACAAUACCCCCGCGGGGACCGAGGACCGCGCUCUAAGCAAGGAUGCUGGCGUAAUGGUUGUCAACGACCCGUCUUGAAACACGGACCAAGGAGUCGAACAUUUGUGCGAGUGUUUGGGUGUCAAACCCUCACGCGUAAUGAAGGUGAACGUAGGUGAGAGCCCUUACGGGUGCAUCAUCGACCGAUCCUGAUGUCUUCGGAUGGAUUUGAGUAAGAGCAUAACUGUUCGGACCCGAAAGAUGGUGAACUAUGCGUGGAUAGGGUGAAGCCAGAGGAAACUCUGGUGGAGGCUCGCAGCGGUUCUGACGUGCAAAUCGAUCGUCAAAUCUGCGCAUGGGGGCGAAAGACUUAUCGAACCAUCUAGUAGCUGGUUAC